AUGCCCUCCUUGCUGUGGUCUCUAACUGUGCUUGUCUUCAGGAAGUGCAGGUUUCCUCACCAGAUGGGAGUCUGGUGGUGGAAGGAGGGGAUUUUGGCAGGAUGGAGCUGGUCACAGAACUUUCUCCCUGGUCCAAGGAAUGGUGCAGAUGAGGUGCACUGUAUGCCAGUGCCUGGACUGCAUGGUCUGAGACUAAAUGAAGUCACUGCCCCUGGAUCCAGACUGGUUUCAAGGAUUGCUGUGAAGCAUCCCUUUGGUGGCUGUGGCACCAACAUCUCUGUGUGAGAGGCUGUUCCCUACUGGAGGAGCACACAGUCUCAACAAGAUAACACCUUAUGGUCUGCUCCACAGUCAAGAAAUGCUUGCUUCUACUCUUUGCAGAGCUAUAUCUGUGCCCUAUAGCCACAGCUGCUCUCACCCCUUCCCCUCAGUGCUGGCUGCAGGCUGAGGAUGUCUCUGUGCCACCUGGCAGCCCCUCAUGCAGUGCCAAUGCUCCCAGUCUCCUUGUCAAGCUGGGCACGUCGGGCUCUGCUCCCCCGGGUAGUUUUGUUCCUUGCCCACCUGAGUGCUGAUGCUAUGGUAAAAAUAACUCUGCACGGAAAUGAGAGCACUGAUUAGGAUUUAAAUAAAAUUUACAUAAAACUCUGCUUUGAGUACUAA
rnacentral:lncRNA from 1 species